GAGUAAACUUUGGUUGGUUGGUUAUGACGACUGUCUCACACGCAUUGGGUCCCGAGUUCGAUUCUCGGUUCCAGUACUCA